GUUUUAAUUUGCAGUUCCUUUUUUUGCUAUUGAUUCUGAACAUUUUAAAGUGUUUACCAGCUAUUUGUGGUUCUUCAUGUGAAAAUUCUUUGUUCAUAUACAGAGUCUAUUUGUUUUCAUUUUUCUUGGUAUUUUUUGAUUUUUUUACAUAGACUAGAUACUAAUCUUCUGCCAGAUUUAUUUUGAGAUAUGUGGACAGGGAGAUAAGAAGUCAGCCUAAAGCUCCAAGAGGUAGUGACUGGAAAAUUAUUCAGAAACUCAGAGGAAAAAAAUAUAAAACAUCUAUAACAUAGCAGAAACUCAGCAGGAGGAACUAAGGAGGUGGUGGAGGCUGAAGUCGAGAAGGGAUUGAGAAGUUUCAGGGAGGCAGCUACUGACAGGGAUGAGGAUGAAUAGCUAUAUAGUCAGUAGUCAGAAAGACAUUACAUGAAUGAAAAAAAAUGGUUUAUGGAGGAUAAUUUUGACUGGUUAAGUAGUUACACUAGUAAGUUAGCAAUUCCAAGCAAAGUAAAUUUUUUAUUAACAGGGAAAAUCUUUGCUAUUGCAGAAUAAGUUUUUAAUGCCAAGAUACUGGUAAAUGGUGAAAAUAAAGGUUAUUUAAAUGCUUGUGAUUCAGAGCUCCAUUAUGUACAUUCAGCCAUCAAUGUACAUCAGAGAGAGUAAUGGAUGCUCACUGAUGUAUCUUAAAUAACUUACCAUCACAGAUAUAAUUACGGUUGUAAAUGAGCAAGAAAGCUAUAGAGAACAGUGAGCAAAAGUCUUGUCUAUAACUCUCACCAGUUUCAGAAUUUAUGUUUGUCUCUAAAAAUACUAACAUUACUAUUUUACUUGCAGCUCUUUUGUCUUCUUUAAGAAAACAAUCAAAAAUUGAAGUUUAUCAAGUGAAAGUACAGAAAAUAUAAAAUUAUGCAAAGAAAUAUAUAGGUCAUAGUUUGGUAACAUUUUUCCAUCAUCUACUUUAACCAGGUGUAUUGAGCAACAUUAGCAUUGUCUUCACCAAGAUCUUUAUGAUUCUAAUCAAGCUUUGAUGGUAAAGCACAAGCUGGCCUGUUUAUGACUUCCCUUCCAUCUCAAUCUUCUAGUCAAAGAUUAAUUAAUAUCACAGAACUUGUAGAACACUUUCCACAAGAGAGCUUUUAGUAGAGUGGUAAAGAUAAAAGCUUGACCUUAGAGAUCAAAAGAAAUUGGAGUAGAGUCAAUGAUUAGACACAUCCUCUGAAGAAUGUAACUUUCACUGGGAGCAAAGAGUAGGGGGAUCAAAGGAUAUUUUUAUUCUAGUAUUUUACUCAUUAUUUACUUUUUAAAACAGAAGAAUAAGGGCAUGUUCAUGGAAAUGAUAGUGGAGGUGGGAUAUUUGGUACAGAAGAGCUUGUCUCAAUGGUGUGAAGUCCCAGGGUAGUAAGACUACAGGUGUUCCCAUGGGACCGGAGUGAGUUUAAACUUAGCACACCAGUUAAUCUUUGAUCAAACAAGAUGUCAUAGAACAGAAAAACAAGUUUGAAUUCCAUGGAUCAGAAAUCAGGAUGAAGGUUAAAACUGAACAAAAAAUGUGAUGUUUGUUUUUCAAAAUAAUGUUAAGGUUUGAUUUCUGGUGACCACAAGUUUCAGAAGACAUCAAUGAUUAGAAGACCAAAAAAAAAGCCCCAAAAAACAAAAACUAAAACAAAACCCAAAAAUGUUAUAUUUGAAACAGAGAAAAUGAAAAUAAAGCAUCAGUAUUUAGACUGGACAUCUACACAACAAAUGAUAGUUCCAAAGUUGAAAACUGACCACCUUGCACGUAAGACAAAAGUCAAAUGAUGAGAGGCAUAAUCUGGGAUGCUGAGAUGCUGACAAGGUUAAUCUCAUAUCAAUUUGAACCUGGUGAGGAUGUUUUAACAUGGAAGAUAUACAGUGCUAUUAAGGAGCCCUCCCCAUAUUGGAGUGAAAACCUGAGUCUAGCAAAACAGGAGUACCUGUGUUUCCCAGUCUCAGAUCCAGAACCACAGAGGCACGUGAAUAUAAAUGGAGUAGAAACCAGGGUACCUUCCAACAUCUUGUGUAUGGUGCUAAUAAUUAUUGAGCAGACAAUGAGAAUUACAGUAUAAGGUAGAGUGGUCAGGCCAAUUGUAUGUUAUUUUGGAUAGUGGGAAACUUCAAGGGAGAGUCACUACAGAUACUAAAUAUAAAUCAAAUGGGUCUACAUUUCUAGCCCAAAUUUUAUAUCACCAGGUUUCUUUUAUUGUAUGUGUAUUUAUGCUUGUUACCUAGAACAUCUACAAAGAUCAAUAAUCCUAUACAACUUGAUCAGAAGUACCAAUAAUAUGCAGAGCAAAAAAUUCACAAAUAUUCACACCUGACCUGACAUGCUGCUCAUUAUUCCUUUCAUUUUUAUUAAUUUAUCAAAGCAUAGAAAUACUUAAAUAGAUGCAUUUGAUUGUUUUUUGAUAUUUGAGACAUUAAUUCAGACCAUUGGUUUCCAAGAAUAUUUGUAAUUUGUAUUUUAUUCACAUUCUCUUUGUAUAUCCUGGGAAACGUGCAUUAGUUUUCUGGGACUUAUUGUUUUCAGUUCCAGAAAAGAAUGAUUUGUUCUAUUUUGAUUUUAGUUUUCUCCAUUCUUUACUUUUGGAUACAUUAUAGUUUUAUAAUAAGUCACAUUGUGGUUUGAAAACAGGCACAGCCUCAUUAUUGACCUGGAGUGGUGUAAUUAAAUUUAAAAUGUGACUUUGACUCCUUCCCUACCCUGGAGUAAAGUCUCUGUUAAACUUUCUGGUAUGACCCUGGAGUAAAGUCUGUUAAACUUUCAAGAUUCUGAUGUGAGAUUUAACACUGAGUUCAUGUUAUAUGUGGGUGUCUGGGGUCCAUGUCUUAAGCUUUCUAGGAGAACCGUGCUUGCUAGCUCUUUGCUUUGCGUUGUGUCAUUGAUGGCAAGUUACCAACUGAACCAAGCAGCAGCGCAGAACUGGACACACACAGGGGAUUAUCUUUGUUUCAGGAAGACUUUGCUUCUGCAAGAAAACAAAGGCUUUGUCUUCUUCAUGUGAAUAUCCACUUUCCAUGGUCCUUUGUAAAGAGGUCAUCUUUUGCCCAAUAUGUCUUUUGGCAUCUCUGCAGAGAAUCAAGUACUCGCUGAUGGUUUUGCUUACUGCUGACUCUUCUGUCCUAUGCCUUUGGUGUGACUCAUCGCUGUUGUGCUGUUUUGUCAUCAUUUCUCCAUAGGGUAAUUUGGAAGCCUGACACAGAGUUACAUCUGCAUUGCUCUUUCUACUCAAGAUUCUUGGGCUAUGAACAAAUGUUUUUAUGCUUUUAUAUAAAAAUUUGUGACCUUUACUUCUCUGAAGGAUGGUAUUGGAAUUUUAAUGGGCAUUGCAUUAAAUAGUUUUUUAAAUAA